CCAGUAUUUCCGGCGUAUAAGACGACUCGGCGUAUAAGACGACCCCCAUCUUUGGCGCUGAUUUCAGCGCUCGCGGAAGUCGCCUUAUACGCCAGCAUUUACGGGUACUUAAAAAAUUGACUAUUAUAGAAAUGUUUAAAUGCAGAGAAAUAAAGUGUUAUUAUUUAGUAGUACACCUCUAAGGCUUUGCAAAGAAUCUUAAGAUGUAUUUCUUCACUUUUCCCUAAUGCCUUGGAAAGUUAUAUCAAAGUGGAGCUGAAAUCCUGCAUGCGUUUCCUGUUAUUCAUUCUCUAAUGGCAGAGUGUAAAAACACAUUCAGCAUACUCCUAAGUAGAAAUUUAUACGUUAUUCUUAAAUAAUGUCUUAGAUUCGUAGAGUGCCUCUGUUGACUAUUAUACAUCUUCAAGUAAUCUGUAAGACAUCUGUGUUCCUUCUCUCCUGCCUUCCAGCCAACAAAUGCAAAAUAUAAUCAUUUACGGUACUCAUAUUCUGCAUCUUACGAUACAACAGCUCUUGAAUGAAAAAAAUAAACUUUCACUCCAUAUGGAAGUGGAAAAUAAUGACUUUCUUCGCAUCCAUAUUUUUAGUAUAUACUGUAUGCAUUUGGUAAGUUUACAAAAAAAAUGUAAUGUUUUGGUAUGAGGAUUUAUACUCACCCUUGAGGGAUUAAUCUAUUAAGUUCAUUUUUAUAUUUGUUUAUUAUAUUUCAUAAUUUAUAUUUAUAUUUUUAUAUUAUUGUCAUGCUUAUAUUUAUAUUUUUAUAUUAGUGCCAUGCUUAUAUUUAUUAAUUUUUAUCUGCUUUAUUCAUUCAUUCUAGCUCUGUAUGGUUGCAUGUGAGAAAGAGAAUGAAGUUCUCCAAUGAAUGUUAUUAUUUUGUACUGGGAGUAAAACUGAAUCAGGUGGAUCAUCUACUGAUUCUCACAAACUUUCUCUCUAGAGAACAAUAAAUUUUCAAGGAUGUUCACAAGACUUUUAAUUCCACUGCAGCCAUUUAGAAAUCCCCUAUCACAGUACUGUUCUAAAGUGAAGAAUUCCUGACUAUACCUGCAGUCAUCUGUGAACUGGAGAUUAGGAUCACAAGAAUGCAAGUAGACCCCCACUACAAUGUUCUUCAUGUGCUUUUUUAAACCUAGUAAAAUUUUGUAAGAAUAUAUGUUAGGUAAGCAUUCAUUAUAUAAAAAGAAUAAAAAGAUUUGAAAUAUAUUUGUUGUUCUGUAUAAACCAGGCAAGGUUAGUGGUUAUGGGAUUUAUUUUCUGAAAUUAAUGACAAUCAACUAUUCCGUAACAAUGCAGAGUCUUCUAAUAUUGACAGCAUGCAAAGAGAAGACAAUUUCCAUUUGGUACAUAUUAAGACAAUGUAAAUUAAAUUUGGUUCAAAAAGUCA